rnacentral:tRNA from 1 species
UCCCGAAUAGCUCAGCCGGUUAGAGCAUCUGACUGUUAAUCAGAGGGUCGCUGGUUCGAGCCCAGCUUCGGGAGCCA